UUAUAAUUUAUUUCUUGAAAAAAAAUGUAGUUUAAAAUUUAACGAAAUCUUUUGGCCUCGCAGAACCGCAUUCAAAAGUCUCAUUUUUUUAAAAGUUCAUUAUUGCAGAAAUAAACAUUUCAUAAAAAUAGUACAAGUUCCAGUUGAAAUAUAAAUUCUUUAAGUUGGUGUUUGCAAAUUUAGUAACUUGAUUGGCUCUUCAGAUUUUAGUAUCAUGGACGGAAAGAAACCAAUGUCGUAUGCUGAUGUAGUCAAGUACGGUAUAAAUUCUCGCCAGUUCUCAAAUGAAAAAGGCGCUGAUGGUUGUGAUCAAGAGCAGUCUUUCACCAUCUUAAAAGCUGAACGUAUUGCAGCUGCCCAUGUUCGUCAAGCAGCAAACGCUUCAUUGGCUGCAAUGAAGACUGACCGUUUGGAUUUAUCUGGCAAUGAAAAGGGUACUAGGCAAUAAUUGGUUCGAUGCCGUCAUGUUGUAGUUAGCUUUUAACUGCUGUUGAAUGCACCAACGAAAGUUAAGGAAAACUAAACCAAAAUUUAUCACCUUUCACUAAUAUAAUUAAAAUAAAUUUACAUACGACUCUUUCUGCAACUGGAUUAUUAA